AUCGAAUUUCAUCAUAGUCGUUUACAUGAGCAUAGAGAAUCUAUACCCGAGUUCGAAUCCUCUAAGAGAAUAGACAAAGACUCACUCUUUUCCUUGAAGUUUUUUCUUCUGUUUUCGUCGUUGUUCGCGCAAACGUUUUUUGGUUUCUCUCCUCUUUCUCCUUAACUCGGUUAUAUCUCUCCGUUUUUCAGCCAUAUCCUUCAGAUUCAACUUAGUCUCUGGACCAGCACUCCUAAGUGCCUGGAGGGGCUCGACACAAUCCUGACCAAUGACGAUCAUUUUCUUCCUUUUAACAUCUCCGGAAUUAUUUGAAUUUUUCUGUCUAGCUAAUUCCUCCAGCUGGUUCUGAAGGAGAGGUGAAACACCAGCCCCAGCCAAGUAGCGUUUUGAGAAUGUUUUGGGUUGCAAUGGCCGUGAAAGAAGACUUUUUAGUUCCUCUUGUAGAUUAGUUAGUUGAGCAGAUGUGGCUUUCUUUCGCUUAUGAUUGUUCACUCUUUCCUCCUCACUAUCAUUAUCUUCCAAAUCUAGUUCCAUUAAUUCAGCACUUCGCUCAAGCCAAUUUUUCUUGGCCUUGUCCUGAGAGUCCUUUCGGGAAAUCUUGUCUAUUUGACGUGCAAGGGAUAAUCGCUUCAUAACUUCAGGCAUGUAUGACAUUUCUAAGGGAAACCGCUGGAAGUUAUCCUUUGAAAACGACCUGCAUAAAGCAGCAAACUUUGAGGU
rnacentral:misc_RNA from 1 species